rnacentral:rRNA from 1 species
UGAGGAAUAUUGGUCAAUGGGCGAGAGCCUGAACCAGCCAAGUAGCGUGUAGGAUGACGGCCCUAUGGGUUGUAAACUGCUUUUAUGUGGGGAUAAAGUGCGUGACGUGUCAUGCAUUGCAGGUACCACAUGAAUAAGGAUCGGCUAAUUCCGUGCCAGCAGCCGCGGUAAUACGGAAGGUCCGGGCGUUAUACGGAUUUAUUGGGUUUAAAGGGAGCGUAGGCUGUCUAUUAAGCGUGUUGUGAAAUUUACCGGCUCAACCGGUGGCUUGCAGCGCGAACUGGUCGACUUGAGUAUGCAGGAAGUAGGCGGAAUUCAUGGUGUAGCGGUGAAAUGCUUAGAUAUCAUGACGAACUCCGAUUGCGCAGGCAGCUUACUGUAGCAUAACUGACGCUGAUGCUCGAAAGUGCGGGUAUCAAACAGG